rnacentral:siRNA from 1 species
GAACUGAAUCACACACAUUCAGU